rnacentral:rRNA from 1 species
AGGGAUCAUUACAGAGUUGCAAAACUCCCUAAACCAUUGUGAACGUUACCUAUACCGUUGCUUCGGCGGGCGGCCCCGGGGUUUACCCCCCGGGCGCCCCUGGGCCCCACCGCGGGCGCCCGCCGGAGGUCACCAAACUCUUGAUAAUUUAUGGCCUCUCUGAGUCUUCUGUACUGAAUAAGUCAAAACUUUCAACAACGGAUCUCUUGGUUCUGGCAUCGAUGAAGAACGCAGCGAAAUGCGAUAAGUAAUGUGAAUUGCAGAAUUCAGUGAAUCAUCGAAUCUUUGAACGCACAUUGCGCCCGCCAGCAUUCUGGCGGGCAUGCCUGUUCGAGCGUCAUUUCAACCAUCAAGCCCCCGGGCUUGUGUUGGGGACCUGCGGCUGCCGCAGGCCCUGAAAAGCAGUGGCGGGCUCGCUGUCGCACCGAGCGUAGUAGCAUACAUCUCGCUCUGGUCGCGCCGCGGGUUCCGGCCGUUAAACCACCUUUUAACCCAAGGUUGACCUCGGAUCAGGUAGGAAGACCCGCUGAACUUAAGCAUAUCAUAAGCCGGAGGAAAC